GGGGGGAAAAUGAGAGAAUCAGGUCACUGAGCUGGAGCCAGGAAAAAUCCACAGGAGUGGAAAUUGGAGCGAUGAAAGCAUUUCAUAUUAACACAUCCAAAGCCUGAAUGGGCCCGGCCCAGAGGAUGUCUUCCCCCUCCUGGAAAGCGGCUGGGGGGCUGAAAGACCUCUAGGCUUUUCUCUGUCAAAUUCAUUCACUAAUCAGCGCUAUUCAGCCAAUCGCCCAUGUGGUCUUCUGCGCGGUGCCCUGCAAAGCGCCAGGACCACAUAGCAACGAUUAUAAUCAAAACCACUGGAGACUCUUAUGUCAGCUUCUGAAAUACGACGCUUCAAAGGCAGACAUGCCUCCAAUGAAAACCAGCACUUUCUUUCUCUUGCUUUCUUUCUGCCAAGUCUACAGUUUUAGAUUCAAGCACUUGAUAAUUAUAUAUCAAUAGAGACAGAAUGCAUUUUGCCUAAAGCAAAGACAUAAAUGGUUUUAAGGGCAGGCACAGUGUCACAUGUCAGUAGACAUUAGCUGAGGUUAAACUCUGCUGAUGUGACUAGAAUAUUGACAUCUCUGUUAGAGUCAAUAUCUCGAAAUUGACGGUGUGGCUUGGCAUACCUAUUUCCUUAAUGAUUUUCCAGUGUAAUACAAACAUAUCUAACAGCACUCCACACAUCUCAGGGGCUUACACUCCUGCCUCUCCUGUGUUCAUCAGACUGCCAAAGCUUUUUGUUAUCCAAACUUCAGCUGAAAGUGGGAUAUGAGGCACAAAGUACAAUCCUGAAAAUAUUGGCCAAAAAAAUAUGUUUCCCUCUCUCUCCCUACCUAGCUAUGUACCUACCUCUCUAUCUUCUAUCUUGUUUGUAUGGCUAAUUAUGCUGCACCUCAGUCACCCAACUCCAGGCAAGUUUCCUUGAGUACAGACACCCAGAAAAGACUGAGAGACAAAAACACAGAAAAACAUGACUUUGCUCAGCAAGAAAACCCAAGAGAAAUGUGCUUCUGUCCUCUGGUUUACGCAUUGAUCUCUGAUUUCCUGGUUCUCUACCUGCCCUGCUGCAGCUAGCCUCACCUCACGUGGCAAGUUGUUGAUGACUAAGGCGGAGGUUUUGUUUUAUUUUGUUUAUCUGGAUAAUUCCAGAUGUUAAUGACUUCCAAAACGCUUAUCCCUCUGUUUCUGCUCGGUUUGACUUUCUAAGUCCAUGCAUCCACUUAUGAUGCUACCUAGACCAUGAUUCUGAACUCUAGUUCUAUAGGAGAGUCUGACAGAGAGUUUUAAAAAUAUACUCAUCCCCAAGCAGUUGAAAUAGGUUACCUGGAAUAGGCUAACCAGUAUCCUUUAAUUAAAAAAAAUGGCAAAACUCUUGCCUAAACUACGUUCGGUUAUCUAUUGCUGUAUAAUAAACAACAUCCCUCAGGGCUU
rnacentral:lncRNA from 1 species